rnacentral:rRNA from 1 species
UGGGGAAUCUUGGACAAUGGGCGCAAGCCUGAUCCAGCCAUGCCGCGUGAGUGAUGAAGGCCUUAGGGUUGUAAAGCUCUUUUGCCGGGGACGAUAAUGACGGUACCCGGAGAAUAAGUCCCGGCUAACUUCGUGCCAGCAGCCGCGGUAAUACGAAGGGGACUAGCGUUGUUCGGAAUCACUGGGCGUAAAGCGCACGUAGGCGGAUUUGUAAGUCAGGGGUGAAAUCCCGGGGCUCAACCUCGGAACUGCCUUUGAUACUGCGGAUCUCGAGUCCGAUAGAGGUGAGUGGAAUUCCUAGUGUAGAGGUGAAAUUCGUAGAUAUUAGGAAGAACACCAGUGGCGAAGGCGGCCAACUGGCUCGAUACUGACGCUGAGGAGCGAAAGCCAGGGGAGCAAACGGGAUUAGAUACCCUUGUAGUCCCUGAGCGGGCUGGCAAGGCGCAU